CUCCUCCCCCCUCCUCCUCCUCCUCCUCCUCCUCCUCCUUCUCGUCGGCGAAAGAAUAUGAAAGAAGAGUUAACCAGUGAGUAGGGGAGUGGAGCAUAGAGCCUCGGGGAGAGAGAGAGAGAGAGAGAGAGAGAGAGAGAGAGAGAGAGAGAGAGAGAGAGAAGACCUGUCAGGAAGUUCAGGUGAGCACUCGGGCGCUUACUAGGAUUCCCUCCUCCUCCUCCUCCUCUUCGCAUUGUUCCAUCUCUCUUCUUUCUAUCUUGUGUGGUGAAAGAGCAAGAAAAAGAGGAGGAGGAGGAGGAGGAGGAGAAGAAGAGGAAAGGAAGAACUACAAGCUACGUGGAAGGAGACCCUAAGAAAUAUGGGCCUCCUCCUCCUCCUCCUCCUCCUCCUUUACGGGACACAACAGUGGAAGAAAGCAUUGCACUGAACGUGGAGAGAGAGAGAGAGAGAGAGAGAGAGAGAGAGAGAGAGAGAGAGAGAGAGAGAGAGAGAGAUAAUGUAUAAGAUGUUACUGAAAGGGAUAUAAUGAGGAAAGGAGAAAGUGGAGAUGGAGAAGGAGGUGGAGUAGAGAAUAAGAAAGAGGAAGAGAAGGAGGAGGAGGAGGAAGAAGAAUGAUGGAUGGAUAUAUAUAACGGAAUAAAUAAUAAUAAAGAGAAAGUACAUAGAAAAGAGGAGUGUUAUUGAAAGGCGAAGAGAAACUGGGAAUGAUGUUUGUUUACCUGAGAAAAUAGAUAACAUAAAGGAGAGAAAAGGGAGAAAAAAUACUUGAUUGGAACGCGUAUAAAUGUUGAGGUAAUAAAAGAGGUAAAAGAAGAGUAGAAAAAAUAGUGAAAAGAAGGAGAGGAAGAAAAAGUAGAAUAAAAGGAAGAUGGGGAUGGGAACAAUUAAAGAUGAAUGUUGUGGAAUUAGAAAGAGAUAAAGAAGAAGAGAAAGCAAAAUAGAGAAAAAAAGGAGGAGAGGAAGAAAAAGUAGAAAAAAGUAGAAAGAUGGAGAUGGGAACAAUUAUAGAUGAAUGAUGUGGAAAUAGAAAGAUAAAGAAGAAGAGAAAGCAAAAUAGAGAAAAAAAGGAGGAGAGGAAGAAAAAGUAGAAAAAAAAAUAGAAAGAUGGAGAUGGGAACAAGUAUAGAUGAAUGCUGUGGAAUUAGAAAGAGAGAAAAAAAAAGAAGAGAAAGCAAAAUAGUGAAAGAAAGGAAGAAAAAAAAUGUUGAUAAAAUAUAAAGAGAAAAAAAUUAAGAAAAAGCAAAAUAAUGAAAAGAAGAAGAAGAGGAAGAAGGCAGGAAGAGGACCGGAGAAAAGGGUGUAAAAAUGUCUAUAUAUAAAUGAAAGGAGGUAUAGAAAACAAAAAAAAAAUAAUAAAAGAGGGGAAAAGAAAAAAAAGAGGAAAAAAACAGGAAGAGAAGAAAAUAGAAGUGAUGAUGGUGUCGAAAAUAUAGAAAAUGUGAUAAGAAUGCCUAUAUAUAAAUGAUGGAAUAUAAGGCCAAGAAAAAGAGGGGAACAGGAAAAAGAAUAAAGUAGAAAGAAAAGGGGAAUGAGAAAAAUGGGAAAAAAAGGUGAUAGGAAUAUAUGAAUGACGGUGGAAAUUAAAAAAAUAAAAAUGACGGUGGAAAUUAAAACAAAAAAAAUAAAAAUAAAAGAAAACAGGAAAAAGAAUAAAGUAGAAAGAAAAGGGGAAUGAGAAAAAUGGGAAAAAAAGGUGAUAGGAAUAUAUGAAUGACGGUGGAAAUUAAAACAAAAAAAUAAAAAUAAAAGAAAAAACAGGAAAAAGAAUAAAGUAGAAAGAAAAGGGGAAUGAGAAAAAUGGGAAAAAAAGGUGAUAGGAAUGUAUAUAUAUGAAUGACGGUGGAAAAAAAAAAAAAAAACAGGAAAAAGAAUAAAGUAGAAAGAAAAGGGGAAUGAGAAAAAUGGGAAAAAAAGGUGAUAGGAAUUUAUGAAUGACGGUGGAAAUUAAAACAAAAAAAAAGAAAAAGAAAAGAAAAAACAGGAAAAAUAAUAGAGGAAAAAUAGAUGGAAGGAAGAGAAGACGGUAAUGGAAUGUCUCUAUGAAGGACGGUAGAAGUUAAUGCAAAAAAAAAAAGGGGGGGGGGCGAAAGGAAUGUAAAUGGAUACCAAAUACAUGUAAAGAAAAAGUGAAAAUAGUAGAAAAUAAUGUGAAAAAAAUGGAAAGAAACGCAAGGAAGAGGGCAUGAAGAGGAAGUUAUGUGAUUCAACCCCAAAUAAUUACAACGAAGCGGAAAAAAAGGAAAGCAAAUACAGGGAAAAGACAAAAAGGGAAAGGAAUGUAAAUGGAUACCAAAUACAAGUAAAAUAAAAAAAUGUGAAAAAUGGUUGAAAAUAAAGUUAAAAAAUAGGAAAAAUGACAAAAAGGGAAAGGAAUGUAAAUGGAUACCAAAUACAUGUCGAAAAAAAGUGAAAAAUGGUAGAAAAUAAAGUUAAAAAAAGGGAAGAAAAGCAAUGAGGAGGACAUGAAGAGGAAGUAAUGUAAUUCAACCCCAAAUAAUUACAACGAAGCAGAAAAAAAAGGAAAGAAAAAACAGGGAAAAGAAGUAAAGGACAAAAAGGGAAAUACAUGUAAAAAAAAAAAAAAAAGUGAAAAAUGGUAGAAAAUAAAGUUAAAAAAAGGGAAGAAACGCAACAAGGAGGACAUGAAGAGGAAGUAAUGUAAUUCAACCCCAAAUAGUUACAACGAAGCAGAAAAGUACGAUAUUUAGACACGUGUUUUCUAAUGGUCUCGAAAACAGUGAAGUUCCGCUUGGUCGCCUUUGAACCCGCUAUCUCUCCCUCCUCUCCCUCCCCCCCUCUUCCCCAAUCCUCCACCUUCACCACCUCCAUCACCCCCACUACCUUCACCUCCACCUCUCUCCUCUUGUUUCUCCUCUCCUCCUCCUCUUCCUCUUAUUUAUCCACCACAAUCACCUCCUCUUCCUCCUUCCACUUCUUACUCUUUAUUCCUACUUUUUUAUUGUUAUUGUUUUCCUCUUCCUCCUCCUCCCUCCUCCUCCUUCUCUUCCUCCUCCUCUUCCUCCUCCUCCUCCUCCUCCUCCUCCUCCUCGGCGCCGUGUACCCUUUCCACCACCCUUGGCCAAGGUUGGAGUCUCAGUAGUGGUCAUAAUCCGUACCCUUAGAGAGAGAGAGAGAGAGAGAGAGAGAGAGAGAGAGAGAGAGAGAGAGAGAGAGGGGAUGAUGAUUAAAUGGUUACCUUCUGGAUUUUAAACUCAUAUAUUUGUUAGUUUAUUUAUAUUUUGUGGUUAUUUUAUUAUUUUUUGUGUAACGUUCUGAAAGGCCUAUUGUUAUUAUUUUCGUUUAGUCUCGCCAAUGGAAGCAAUUAACGACGGAGAAGAAAAAAAAAUAACAAGUAAAAUAAAAGGUUUAAUUUCAUGGCGCUGCGGUUGGUUACAUGACCUGAAAUUACUGAGCGCUUGGAGUCCAGUCACGUAGAUCAUUCUUGCUCGCUGGCUGCCAGAAAACUUUAUUAGUCAUACUUUUACUUUUAAGACGCGGGGAAAGGAAAACUGACUACCAACUAACGGGGAGGAGGGAACGAACGAAAUAGCUUAUACUGAACAUAUGCAAGGAAGGGAAGAAGGAACGAGAUAGCUUAUAC